rnacentral:tRNA from 1 species
GGCCCCAUCAUCUAGCGGUUAGGAUACUGGGUUUUCAUCCCAGACACGCGGGUUCGAGUCCCACUGGGGUCA